CCUACGGGAGGCAGCAGUGGGGAAUAUUGGGCAAUGGAGGAAACUCUGACCCAGCGACGCCGCGUGCGGGAUGAAGGCCUUCGGGUUGUAAACCGCUUUCAGUAGGGAAGAAGCGAAAGUGACGGUACCUACAAAAGAAGCACCGGCUAACUAUGUGCCAGCAGCCGCGGUAAUACAUAGGGUGCAAGCGUUGUCCGGAAUUAUUGGGCGUAAAGAGCUCGUAGGUCGUUUGUUACGUCGGAUGUGAAAACCUGAGGCUCAACCUCAGGCCUGCAUUCGAUACGGGCAAACCAGAGUUUGGUAGGGGAGACUGGAAUUCCUGGUGUAGCGGUGGAAUGCGCAGAUAUCAGGAGGAACACCAAUGGCGAAGGCAGGUCUCUGGGCCAAUACUGACACUGAGGAGCGAAAGUCUGGGGAGCGAACAGGAUUAGAUACCCUGGUAGUCCAGACCGUAAACGGUGGGCACUAGUUGUGGGAACCUUCCACGGUUUCUGCGACGCAGCUAACGCAUUAAGUGCCCCGCCUGGGGAGUACGAUCGCAAGAUUAAAACUCAAAUGAAUUGACGG
rnacentral:rRNA from 1 species